AUUUGCACUUUUAUUUAUAAACAUGCAGCAAAGUAAAAUCACUCGCCUGGAACGGUUAACUUCUUAAUGUUUUGUGAAAUGUGUUGUGAAGAUGGCAGACGGCAGCCCAUCAUCCAGACAGUCCGUGAGAGAUUUGAAGAUUUUCCUCCUGGGGACGAGUAUGUCAGAAAACAACAGAGUGGGAAACCUAAUCUUGGGUAAAAAUGUGUUUGUAAAGAAAACACCAUCAUCUGAUGAAAAGCACAGUGGAAGAGUGGAGGACAGAAACAUCACAGUCAUCAUCUCUCACCUGCUUAAAUUAAAACCAACACAAGAAGCAGUAAAGCAGAAAGCAUCAGAGCUGUCUCGAUUUAAUCCUCAUGUGAUCAUUCUGGUGCUACAGCUCAGUGGUUUCAGUGAGAAGCAGAAAGAUUGAUUAACUUCAGUGCUGAUUGACUUGAAAGAGCAGGCAAUGAAGCACACAAUGAUUCUGACCACUGACGACAAGAAACACAGUAGUAAAGCAGUCUGUGAAAGAAAAUGAGCUUAUUCAGCAGUUAUCUGCAGAGUGUGGAGGAGGACGCCUUCAACUACUACACACAGAACGCUCUCAGUUACUUAAGAAAGUGGAUGAAGUAAUCACUCUUAGUGGUCAUGAGACACAACAUCAGUCAUCAUUGGAUCAAGAGAAUACGAGUGAUGCGAUGACUUUAAGGAUUAUUCUUCUGGGUAAAAGCAAGUCAGAAAACAGUCGAGUGGAAAAUAUCAUCUUAGGACAAGCAGGGCUUUAUAGUAAAGUUUGUCAAGAUGUGGAGAGAGUCCGAGGAAAACUGAGGCACACAUACGUGACGCUCAUCAACAGUCCUCAGCUGCUCCAGCCUCAUGUUUCACUUCAUCAGAUCACACAGACAGUCAGAGAGUGUGUGAGUCUGUCUGAUCCAGGACCUCAUGUCUUCAUCAUCGUACUGCAGCAUAAAGACUUCACUGAAGAAGACAGAUGCAGAGUGAAAAGUGUCCAGAAAGAAUUCAGUGAAGAGGCCAUCAAACACACCAUAGUGCUCACGACUGAUGAAAAAUCAUAUGGAUCAAUGAUUACUUCUAUGGUCAAAAAUGAUGCAGUGAAUGUGUUGAGAUAGGAGUGUGGAGGAGGACAUCUGCAGCUGGAUGAAAGAAAUCCAGAAUGGUGUUCUGACCUACUGAAGAGGGUUGAUGACAUUCUGAAAGGAAAUGAGAAACAUUAUCUCACUUGUGGGAAGUAUAAAGAUGUUAAAGGGACAUCAGUCGAUGAAGAGGAGACCAGAUCUGAGGAAGACAAUGAAGAGAGUGACAACAGUUAUGGAGAUUUCAGACAGGGAUGCAAUGAAGCAGAUGCAUCUGGACAACAGAAGCUGAAUCUGGUUCUGUGUGGAAGUAAUGCAACACAUACAGUCUCAGUGUCAAAGCUUCUCAGUCAUUCCAGUCAGACAGACAGCAAUGGAGUGUGUGUGAAGAAACAGAAGAUUCAUGGUCGUCAGAUCAGUCUGCUGGAACUUCCAGCUCUCACUCCUCUCUCAGAGGAGGAAGUGAUGCGUCAGACUCUCCGCUGUGUGUCUCUCAGUGAUCCUGGAGUUCAUGCUUUCCUCAUCAUUGUUACUGUUGGACAUCUGACUGAUGAAGAUAAAGCAGAGAUAGAGAAGAUCCUGAAGACAUUUGACUCUAAGGAUCACGUUAUUGUGCUCUUCACAUCAGAGCUCACUGAUGAAAGAUUUGCAAUAGAUCUUGUUAACAUCUACCCUGAGUGUCAGAGGUUGAUUAGUCUUUGUGGAGGUCAGUACAGAGUGAUUGGGUUAAAGAAACCUGAAGACUCUAAACAGAUCCCAGAACUGCUGGAGUAUGUAGAGAAGAUGGAGACUGAACCAUUCUCACCUGAGAUGU
ensembl:processed_transcript